rnacentral:rRNA from 1 species
UGGGGAAUUUUGGACAAUGGGGGAACCCUGAUCCAGCCAUCCCGCGUGUGCGAUGAAGGCCUUCGGGUUGUAAAGCACUUUUGGCAGGAAAGAAACGUCGCGGGUUAAUACCCCGCGAAACUGACGGUACCUGCAGAAUAAGCACCGGCUAACUACGUGCCAGCAGCCGCGGUAAUACGUAGGGUGCAAGCGUUAAUCGGAAUUACUGGGCGUAAAGCGUGCGCAGGCGGUUCGGAAAGAAAGAUGUGAAAUCCCAGAGCUUAACUUUGGAACUGCAUUUUUAACUACCGGGCUAGAGUGUGUCAGAGGGAGGUGGAAUUCCGCGUGUAGCAGUGAAAUGCGUAGAUAUGCGGAGGAACACCGAUGGCGAAGGCAGCCUCCUGGGAUAACACUGACGCUCAUGCACGAAAGCGUGGGGAGCAAACAGGAUUAGAUACCCUGGUAGUCCACGCCCUAAACGAUGUCAACUAGCUGUUGGGGCCUUCGGGCCUUGGUAGCGCAGCUAACGCGUGAAGUUGACCGCCUGGGGAGUACGGUCGCAAGAUUAAAACUCAAAUGAAUUGAC